CCAUCCGAAUCGGCUAUGCGAAGCUUUCUGGGCUGUUUCUUCGAUUGACGAUAAUUAGUGGUGAUGCUGAUGGCGAAUGUUUAA
rnacentral:lncRNA from 1 species